rnacentral:rRNA from 1 species
CAGCCGCCGCGGUAACACGGAGGGAGCUAGCGUUGUUCGGAAUUACUGGGCGUAAAGCGCACGUAGGCGGCUUUGUAAGUUAGAGGUGAAAGCCUGGAGCUCAACUCCAGAACUGCCUUUAAGACUGCAUCGCUUGAAUCCAGGAGAGGUGAGUGGAAUUCCGAGUGUAGAGGUGAAAUUCGUAGAUAUUCGGAAGAACACCAGUGGCGAAGGCGGCUCACUGGACUGGUAUUGACGCUGAGGUGCGAAAGCGUGGGGAGCAAACAGGAUUAGAUACCCCGGUAGUCCCUGUCUCUUAUAC